rnacentral:rRNA from 1 species
AACCUAUACAACUUUCAGCAACGGAUCUCUUGGCUCUCGCAUCGAUGAAGAACGCAGCGAAAUGCGAUAAGUAAUGUGAAUUGCAGAAUUCAGUGAAUCAUCGAAUCUUUGAACGCACCUUGCGCUCCUUGGUAUUCCGAGGAGCAUGCCUGUUUGAGUGUCAUUAAUAUAUAUCAAACACUCUUGUUGAGUGGUUUGGAUGUGGGGGGUUUUGCUGGCCUUUUAAAAAAUGGGCUCAGCUCCUCUAAAAUACAUUAGCAGAACAACCUGUUCAUUCAUUGGUGUGAUAACUAUCUACGCUAUUGAAUGUGAGGCAGCAGUUCAGCUUCCUAACAGUCCUUGGACAACUUAUCAUUUUUAUGNGACCUCAAAUCA